rnacentral:rRNA from 1 species
GACGAACGCUGGCGGCGUGCUUAACACAUGCAAGUCGAACGGAAAGGCCCUGCUUUUGUGGGGUGCUCGAGUGGCGAACGGGUGAGUAACACGUGAGUAACCUGCCCUUGACUUUGGGAUAACUUCAGGAAACUGGGGCUAAUACCGGAUAGGAGCUCCUGCCGCAUGGUGGGGGUUGGAAAGUUUCGGCGGUUGGGGAUGGACUCGCGGCUCAUCAGCUUGUUGGUGGGGUAGUGGCUUACCAAGGCCUUGACGGGUAGCCGGCCUGGGAGGGUGACCGGCCACAUUGGGACUGGGAUACGGCCCAGACUCGUACGGGAGGCAACGGUGGGGAAUAUUGCACAGUGGGCGGGAGCCAGAUGCGGCAACGCCGCGUGCGGGAUGACGGCCUUCGGGUUGUGAACCGCUGUCGCCUGUGACGAGGCGUGAGUGACGGUAAUGGGUAAAGAAGCACCGGCUAACUACGUG